UUGUGGUUAUUUAAAGCUGAAACACGACCCUGUAGAAACAGUAACCUUUCUCUGUCAGUCAGAGAAGAAAUGGCCAGGCUCCUGUUUAUACAGCUGAUGAUUGGUGUCUUCACUUUGAGUCUUCUUCAGAUCACUUUAGCAGAUGUCAUAUCUGUUCAUCCUGGUGAAAAAGUUACCCUGCGCUGUAACAUCCCUAAUUAUUUUAACAUAUUGUGGUAUCGACUUAAAUCUGAGGAGGUGAAACUUCUCAUAAUUGCUAAAAAAGGGAAACUGGAUACACACUUUUCCCCCAGCAGCCCUGUCGAUGACAGUCACUUUGAUGUAACUGAAGAUGGUGGUUUAGUGAUUAUCGGAGUUAGAGAGACAGAUCUGGGAUUUUAUUACUGUGGAGGUCAAAACACCUCAACACACAUUCAGUUUGGGAAACCCAUCAGACUGAACUUUACAGUUUACUCUCGAGCAAAGCCCUGACAUACUGUACCGGUCACCCCUCUACAAAGGUGUGACAAGGAGUAAGCUGAUAGGCUGGCCUUAAGUAUCCUGCCUGGCAGGUGCAGGCAAUCCGACAACAGAAAUCAGGAAGCUGUUGCCUCAUCUGUAUAUUUGGACCGCUACCAGGUUACAAAUAUAAUCCUAACAUGUGUGUGUUCCAUCUCAUUCCUAAUGAACGUCUUCUGCAUCUGUGUGUUCAGUUCCCGAGUGCAAGGAAAGUUACUAUCAUCACACACAUGCUGCAGUGACACCAACACCACUUAUUCAGAUGAGAAGGGAAUGAAUCUGCACUAUGCCACUUUUACACACAUGAGAGAACCCGCUGAUAGAAACUCAUCAGAUUUGGACAGAGUGAUAUACACAGGAAUCAGACAUUUACCAGGCUGACAUGGCCUGCACCUGAUUAUAGAGCUGUACCAGUAGGAUGAGGAAAAUAUUUUACUUAAAAUAUUUGAUCAUGGUUAACAAUGUAAACUCCAUGCUUAUUCAUAUCUGUUCUCAGCAAUGAGCAGUGUAAACCCUUCUGAAAAAAAAAAUUACAUACAAUUCACACAUUUUUCAUUUUUGAUAUGAGUAAAAGGGCAUUUCAUGUUAUGUCCUGAAGUUACAGUUGUGAACUCAAGUAACAUGUGACAUCAGCUGAAUAAUGUUUGUGUCUCCCUAUAUUUAUAAUCCCACUCGCUUCUGGAGAAAUUUCUCCCUUAGUUAUUUUUGGAUUUGUCCUUAAUAAAUAAAUAAAAUGUAGAUAAAAUGUCCAUGCUGCACACUCUUAAUUUCAGAAUCAGCAAUUUUAUUAUUUUAUCAUCAUUACGCUAUAAGGAGUCUCAGUUUCAGCAUUUUAAGACUUAGUAUAGCUUUAAAUAGUGUAACAUGAUGCACAGGUUUAGAAUUUUGCACAUUUAUCUUCACAUCUUAGGUCUUGCCUUUAUUUAAAACUUUUUUAAAAUGUCAUUGUCACAUCAGUCAGGGACAUUUGACUGCCCUUCCGCAAAGUUCUAGGACACUUCAUUUAUCCCACUUCAUUUCCUGUUCAUAGACUAUAUAAAAUACACACACACACACACACACAGUAUCAAAGCCUUAGAAUGUGUAAGUUCACCUUAUUGUGUAAGUUCUGAACUGUUUUCUAGUAUUUGUGUGCUGUGCUUUGACCCUUGCUAUGUUGUGGAUUUCUUUGUCUUGCGCUUGUGAUUUCUGUUCGGUUUGAUUUGUGUAUGAUCUCAGACUGUCCUGUGGAUUUAUGAUAUUGGAUUGUUGACCUCUUGUGAAGGGAUCCUCACACAUCUCCCAAGUCCUGUUCAUUACAGUCAGAAGCCUCCUUCAAGACCAGUUCAUCAUGAGGUACCAUAUGAGGAAGUCAGAGCUGGCGCUGACGUUUUCUCUUAGAAAAGGUCAAAGAGUAACCAGGAAAGGAGUGACAAGAACACAAUUAAUGUGUAAGGACCUUUCAGUAAGGUGUUGCCUGGAGAGAGACAUAAAUUAAUCAUUCUAAAUAUUACACUCUCAGUGACAUGAAAUUGUAGAUCUUUCAGUAGCUUUAGAAAUGUCAUAUAUAGUUUUGUUGAAAGAUAAAUGGAGAUUUGUAAUGUUACUGACUCACAUGUCUAUGUUCACUGUACAGCAAAGCUAAGGAAAUAUUAAAAUUAGGCAGGACACUCACCUGAGGAAGUGGAUUUUUUAUCUGACCUCUCUUCUAGUUUGUCUUUAAAGGAAAAAGAAAAAUGCAUGAAUUUAUUUUAUCAUUCUGUUAUUCUAGCUCUAGCAAGAGAUUUGUCACCUGCUAGUGUGAACGUAGAGUCACUUGGAAACACUGGACCCUUAUCAACAGCGUUUUCUAUUCAAUGAGCUCAAGACCUUUCCAUAUAUAUUUUAUUAACACUUUUCUGAUAUCUGCUACAGUUAGUGGCUAAUUCACUUACCGUCGACUAUGAGUUCAACACUGUUGAUUAAAACACCAAGAGUUCUCUUUUUCUUU